UUCACCACAUGGCGUACACUCUAAUGCCCUGGAUGGGGAGGGAAGAACUCUGGAAUGUGUUUCAGGUUCUACUGUCAAUUUGCCAAUCCAGUCUUAAGCAAAUUGCUUCACCUCCAUGAGCUCUGGAUUCUCAUUUGUUAAGCUGUCAGCCUGUUUCAAGUGAUUCCAGGAGGAUCCAAGGAGUAACAAGAGAGGAAUUCUUGGACCCCAUCCCAGGUGUAUGCAACACAAUCUGAGAAUCCAGAGCAGUCCAGAGCAGAGCAAGGGAGGACCUUGGAGGUCACCCUGACCAAGACUGAUCCUGUUUCAGAGGCAAAAUGGAGACCAGGAAAGGACAAACAGAUUGACUGAGGACUCAAAUGUUAUUUGAGUUGAGAGUUUGGGACUGAAUCUUCCUGAGACAGCAGAUAUUUUCCUUUGCAAAAUUCCAGCUCAGUGACUCGAUGGAGAAAAGACAAUCUAUACUUUAAAAUGUAAAUGUCAUACCAUCUACAACAUUCCACAAUAUCUAAAAAUCUUCUGGCCUGUUGGGAGACAAGUGAUGUUCUUCUCUCAGUUCCCGACAGCUGGGAGGCCCAGAUUUGACAAACUGCUGAUUCCACCCCUUUAUACAGAGAAUUGUUGAUUGAGUCAUCUACAUUCAGGAUGAAAUAUUGUUUCUAAUAAAUAUGGGGUUAAUUUA